rnacentral:rRNA from 2 species
GGAUGCGAUGAUACCAGCACUAAAGCACCGGAUCCCAUCAAAACUCCGAAGUUAAGCGUGCUUGGGCGAGAGUAGUACUAUGAUGGGUGACCUCCUUGGAAGUCCUCGUGUUGCAUUCC